rnacentral:rRNA from 1 species
CAGUAGCCGCGGUAAUACGGAGGGCGCGAGCGUUACCCGGAUUUACUGGGCGUAAAGGGCGUGUAGGCGGCCUGGGGCGUCCCAUGUGAAAGGCCACGGCUCAACCGUGGAGGAGCGUGGGAUACGCUCAGGCUAGAGGGUGGGAGAGGGUGGUGGAAUUCCCGGAGUAGCGGUGAAAUGCGCAGAUACUGGGAGGAACGCCGAUGGCGAAGGCAGCCACCUGGUCCACUUCUGACGCUGAGGCGCGAAAGCGUGGGGAGCAAACCGGAUUAGAUACCCCCGUAGUCCCUGUCUCUUAUAC